AGACGGGGGGUGCUAGCGUUGUUCGGAAUUACUGGGCGUAAAGGGCGCGUAGGCGGCUCUGCGAGUCGUGCGUGAAAUCCCGGGGCUCAACCCCGGAACGGCGCUCGAUACUGCGGGGCUGGAGACCGGAAGAGGAGGGUGGAAUUCCCAGUGUAGAGGUGAAAUUCGUAGAUAUUGGGAGGAACACCGGUGGCGAAAGCGGCUCUCUGGUCCGGUUCUGACGCUGAGGCGCGAAAGCGUGGGGAGCAAACAGGAUUAGAAACCCUAGUAGUCC
rnacentral:rRNA from 1 species